AACCUGUCUCUCUAAGAGGACCAAGCUUCCCGAACAAUAGCGGCUAUCCUUUUGAUGAUAACACAGGGAGAGAUAAGGUACGAGUACAGCGCAACCACGUUGAUGGGUUUCAGUUCCGUCUCAAGAAUGGGCUAAUGAGCAUGGAGAUUGGUCAUACGGACAGUAUUUCCUUAAUUGUGAUGCAUGAAGGAAAAAUGCCAAAGUUUCUUGGGGGACCAUGAGCUGAACUAACAUGUAUGACAAAUGCAUGUAAAACUAGGUGUCAUACCUGAUUCCACGCGACCUGGUGGUGCAGUAGAGAGAACAAAAAUAUGGCGCCAAAGCUUGGAAGGAGCAGGCGAGCACGGAGAAACGCGGCUACAUCCUAGCACCCAAGGCAGAGCUGCAUAAAUGCAGCUUCGUUCUGGGCUAGGCGUGGAUGAGCGCAAUAAUACCAGCGGCCGAUGUGACCUGGGCUUCUGAAUACUCUUGUUCGCGAUGGUGUCAAGUGCCGGGUCACAGAGGCGCUGCGCCUGUGCGGGAUGGAAGCCGCGAAAGAACGCACGAAAAUGAGUGAUGUGUACCUCAGCUGUGUCG